UAUAAAGUGCCUGAUUUUAAAAAGGAUUAUUAUGAUAUAAUAAAAUAUGUUAUUAAAUAACCUUUAUUU
rnacentral:tRNA from 1 species